CGCGUAGGCGGGAUAGCAAGUCAGGUGUGAAAUCCGGGGGCUCAACCCUCGAACUGCACUUGAAACUGUUAUUCUUGAGUGAUGGAGAGGCAAGUGGAAUUCCUAGUGUAGCGGUGAAAUGCGUAGAUAUUAGGAGGAACACCAGUGGCGAAGGCGACUUGCUGGACAUUAACUGACGCUGAGGCGCGAAAGCGUGGGGAGCAAACAG
rnacentral:rRNA from 1 species